GGCAUGGGUAGUUAAUAGAUAUGAUCUAUUGCAUGUGGGGUUAAAGGGUUUAACCUAGAUCUGUUUCUGCUACAUUUUCAAAAUCAUUUUAAAAUACAUAAAUGCAACCUACCCGCUUUCUAUCAGUGGUAUCAGAGCUAUUGAUUUCUCUUGACAUGCAUGAUUUGAUUUUUGAUUUGGAUCUGAAUGUUUAAGUAGUUUAAUAUUGAUCUUAUGUUGAUAUAAGAUUGUCCUGAUAUAGGGUUAACCCUAUAUAUUCUAAAGAUUAUCCUAG
rnacentral:lncRNA from 1 species